UUUCCGAUUGAUAUUAUCUUGCCAGAGAUGGGGAGCCGCUGAAGAAUUUGGGGCAGGGAGAUAACGCGGAAGAGGUGAAUGGAAUGGAGUGGGAGAAUGCCAAUUUACUACAGGUCGGCUGUGUACCAGGAGCUGGAAAUCAGGCAAUGAACAGGACUGGCAAAGUCUCUGUUCUCAUGGAAGAGACUGACAACACACAAAUAAGGAAACAAGCAAGGAAGUAUCAGCUAAGUGCCGCUUGGAAAAUCAAACCAGUUUUACAGAUCCAAAAAGGCUUGGGAGGACUAAAGACACUUGCUAAAGGUGGCCAUCAAGUAGGCAAGAGAGCUAGAAGCUGAGAGCUGCACUUUCCACAAGUCCUCACCGCCGUCAAAUCCCUAGACCUGGGCUUGCUCUAACAGCAAUGAAAGAAAACUUGGAAAGCUACAAAAGAUCGUCGACUCUGAACUAUUACUGGGGUGGGCAGAGAUGCCCCAGGUGACUGGACACCAUUAGGCAGAGG
rnacentral:lncRNA from 1 species